rnacentral:misc_RNA from 1 species
CACUCUACGAGCAAUGAGAUUAAGCUUUGGAUUUCUCAAAAAAAAAAAAAAAAGGUUUGGACGGCAAACAGCAGUGGCAAAAGCGUAGUUAACUGAAAUUGGAGGGGCUGUUGAUCUCAUACCAUACAAGUGCAAAGCUAAUAAGAAAGAGGNGCAAAGCUAAUCGGAAAGAGGGGUGUAUUUCAUCUCUCUUCUCAAAAGUCUCUCUCCUUCC